rnacentral:lncRNA from 1 species
UCUCCAGUGAGCAUGGCGUACUUUCAUCCAUAUUAUCUUGUUUUUUAAUCACAUAUCACUGCAAAGUACUUAGAGGUGGCCUCUGAGUCUAAGCAAGCUGGUUUCCUGCUGGGGCCAUGCAUUGGAAACUGGUGGCCUGGAGUUACAACAAAUGGAGCGUGGGCUCCAAGAAGGCAUCUUCCUGUCCUUGUUUUAAGUUUCAGGUGACGGAGAAGUAGUACCUUAAUUGCUUCUGGGGAUGUCUGUUCUUAACACAGUGUGCAGUGGAAUUCCCCAGGAUUAUGUGCACCUCACCUUGAAAAAAAAUUCAUAGAAAACUAAAUUUGGGAGAAAAGAA